rfam:Heligmosomoides polygyrus genome assembly, scaffold: HPBE_scaffold0000695
GCGCCGGUGGUGUGAAGGCGUAGAGCAUUCCCGCCCGGUCAGAGGGAGGUGCGGGUUCGAGUCCCGCCUGGCGCU